rnacentral:rRNA from 1 species
GACGAACGCUGGCGGCGUGCCUAAUACAUGCAAGUCGAACGCAGUGGGGACGGGUGCGUCACACGUGGGUAACCUCCCAUCAGAGGGGAUAACACUUGGACACAGGUGCUAAACCGAUCCUGAUGGAUGAACCCGCGGUGCAUUAGCUAGUUGGUGGGGUAACGGAUCACCAAGGCAACGAUGCAUAGCCGACCUGAGAGGGUGAUCGGCAACACUGGGACUGAGAAACGGCGCAGACUCCUACGGGAGGCAGCAGUAGGGAAACUUCGGCAAGGGACGAAAGUCUGACCGAGCAACGCCGCGUGAGUGAAGAAGGUUUUCGGAUCGUAAAACUCUGUUGUUAGAGAAGCGGUAUCUAACCAGAAAGCCACGGCUAACUACGUGCCAGCAGCCGCGGUAAUUC